UACGGAGGGUGCAAGCGUUGUCCGGAAUUAUUGGGCGUAAAGAGCUCGUAGGCGGCUUGUCGCGUCGGUUGUGAAAACCCGGGGCUCAACCCCGGGCCUGCAGUCGAUACGGGCAGGCUAGAGUCCGGCAGGGGAGACUGGAAUUCCUGGUGUAGCGGUGAAAUGCGCAGAUAUCAGGAGGAACACCGGUGGCGAAGGCGGGUCUCUGGGCCGGAACUGACGCUGAGGAGCGAAAGCGUGGGGAGCGAACAGG
rnacentral:rRNA from 1 species